GGCCCGUUCGUCUAGGGGUUAGGACACCGGGUUUUCAUCUCGGCAACAGGGGUUCGAUUCCCCUACGGGCUA
rnacentral:tRNA from 1 species